GAUGAACGCUAGCGGCAGGCUUAACACAUGCAAGUCGAGGGGCAUCGAGAGUAGCAAUACUUGUCGGCGACCGGCGCAAGGGUGCGUAACACGUGAGCAACAUACCCGUUUCAGGAGGAUAACCGGAGGAAACUCUGCCUAAUACUCCAUGACAUCAUCAAACGGCAUCGUUUGAUGAUUAAAGAUUUAUCGGAAACGGCUUGGCUCGCGGGACAUUAGCUUGUUGGUGAGGUAACGGCUCACCAAGGCUACGAUGUCUAGGGGUUCUGAGAGGAAGGUCCCCCACACUGGAACUGAGACACGGUCCAGACUCCUACGGGAGGCAGCAGUGAGGAAUAUUGGACAAUGGUCGGAAGACUGAUCCAGCCAUGCCGCGUGAAGGUUACUGUCCUAUGGGAUAUUAAACUUCUUUUGUAUGAGAGCAAUAAGGUGCACGCGUGCACCGAUGAGAGUAUCAUACGAAUAAGCAUCGGCUAA
rnacentral:rRNA from 1 species